rnacentral:ncRNA from 1 species
AUAUAUUUAGGUACCUAAAUAGGUUUAAUAGGGAAAGUGGUGAAAAUCCACUACAGCCCCCGCUACUGUAUACGGAUACGAAGUCAAAUCCACUGGUUCUUAACUGGGAAGGAUGACUAAGGCUAAGCCGUUAGUCAGGAGACCUACCUAAUUAUA